UUUAUCACUCUUCCCAUUCCCAUUUCCCAUAUCAGAACCAGAAAAAAAUCAUCUUCUUUCUUACUCCACCCGACAACUGCACCCAUUCCUCUUAUCUUCUGUGUACCACCUGACCAUCGCCACCGACCUCUCUGUCUCCUUCUCUUUCAAGUUGUCAAGUACCUUCAUCACCAUCUUUCCCAAGAUAUCUUUUCUGUACCCAUUUUAACUAACCCUAAAUAGUUAUUAUUUGAGGAAAAAUAGGCUGGCUAAUUUGUCUCCAAGAGCUUCUAGAAUGACAAUUGAAGGUCUGAAUUUCAAGUUCUUUGCAACAUCAACAUCAUUAAACAAUAAGGUGGUUGUGUACAGUGAAGACUAUGCAUCAGUGUUAUCAUUGUAGGUACUCUUUCUUAGCCUACCAAGUUUUUAGCGCCGCUGCCGGGGACUCGGUAGAGGUAUAGCUGAGGUUUCUUCUUUAUUUUACUGAUUUUCAGCUUUGCAUUAUAUAUACUUCCCUGUAAUUUUUUCGGUCAUUUUCUAGUGUAACUUAUUUGUCAACUCAUCUAUCUAUUAAAUGCAUUUUGGUUUUUCCUUAUUAGCCGUAACUUAUUGAAGAAUUUCUCUGUAUCCUGUUAGCUGUAGUUUUAAAUUUCAGUCACCUGCAUGAUCAUAUAUCUUUCAUUUUGUUCCAUUUUCUUUCAUUACAUUCUGCAGCAUUGGCAUCUUGUCAUUAUACUUUGAAACCUACCAUCUGUUCAUCCUGCAUCUCAUGUUGUAGUUUAAUAGCAUCCUAGCUCUGUAGUUGUAACGAUAAGUUUUUAAUUUCAAUCAUUUUUUUUUGCAUAAGCUGCACCCUGUAAUAUUCUGUAGUACUUUUGUUCACAAAUUUGCAGCAUGUUGUGGUGUAGUUUAAUUAGUGUCACAAUAUUUGUCUAUAAGUGUUGUUUGUUGAUUCUUUGUUGAUUACCUGUUGCUUUACUCAGUGCUUGGUUUAGUUACAAUAUGGAGAGUUCGGUUACUUGCUUUUAACUCAAUCCUGCAAGAUAUGAGUAAUACCCACCUCAGUUAUGAAUCCCUUAUAAGAAAGCUGAAAUUCCUAUUGCGCUAGCUGAAUCUUGCAUAGUUUACUCUGCAUCAUUGUAUCCUACCGUCCCUGCAAGACAUAUCUGGUUUGAAUUAGUUGAUCUAUAGAAAGUAUCAUGUUGUAGUCAUUUUGAACCUCAUAAUAUUCUACAUCUGCAGCUUUCCCGUCCAUCUGAAUUACUGGAGUAUUGAGCAUAUUGUAACAUAAUUCAGGUUUUGAGUCUUCAUUCAUGUAAAACUGCAUCUGUGGGUCAAGCAUCUUGAGAAAUAAGUAUAGUGCAGAGUCUGAUCCUGCUAUUUGAACCACCAGAUUACUGUCAGCUUCCCCAUGUUCCAUUGAAACUAUUAUGUCACUAUUAACCUAGUCUGUCUUGGGCAGAAAUCAGUGGGGUAGCUCAAAAUCAUUGUCAUGCUGUAAAAUCUCUUUAAGUGAUCAGGUACCUGCAAUACUGUUGCGAACAACAAGGAGGUGGAAAGGAAGGAGCGGAACAAACCUGAGUAUAUGCUUACACAUGGUCCUGUACCGGCGGAACCUGCGACAUCUCUCAGCGAAACAAUGAAAGAUAACGGAGCAACCGAACCUGUUUAUCGUGCCUAAACCCAGUUUUAUACUGGCGAUAUUGUAUUCUCAAACUCGAAGUCUGCCCUAAAUAUUUUCCAUGACUGCUGAAUAAUGCUCACUGAUGUUUGUCUACCCUGAUAUCCACAAGCAUGAUUCUGUGAUGUAUGAGUGAAAUGAAUACUUGUUGAAAUUGUAAGCCUCACUGUUUAGCAUUGAAUCUCUGAACUUUCGAUGCUCUGUCUUGAAUGACAUACCAUGUCUGC